rnacentral:piRNA from 1 species
UAGCUAGCUCGGAAAGCAGUGGGGCUGGU